rnacentral:rRNA from 1 species
UACGAACUGUGCGAACGUUAUUCGGAAUCACUGGGCUUACAGGGUGCGUAGGCGGCUCAACAAGUCAGGUGUGAAAGCCCCCGGCUCAACCGGGGAACUGCGCUUGAAACUGUUAGGCUCGAGUCAGCUAGAGGUACACGGAACUUCCAGUGGAGCGGUGAAAUGUGUUGAUAUUGGAAGGAACACCGGAGGCGAAAGCGGUGUACUGGGGCUGGUCUGACGCUGAGGCCCGAAAGCCAGGGGAGCGAACGGG